CAUUGGAGAGGUGGCCUUGCGCAGAGCCAGAGAGGCCCAUCAGGAAGUACAGGUCAACAGAGUUGUCCUGGGUCCGCUGGAAGUCCACUUUGAAUGUUGCCGCUUGACCUGUGAGGGAGAAGAGUGUCACUGCAGAGCCACUGAGCAUGUGUUGUGAGUGGAUAGCUCUCUCCAGUAGUUUCUCAGUCCUCUCAGUUUGUUCAGCCAUUGCUGCCUGGCUUAGCAUCAGUAAAAAGGUACUGACUCCUACGCCUGCUGGUGUACACAUUUAACCUCAGCACUUGGGAAGCAGAGGCAGGAGAAUCUCUGAGUUUGAGGCUAGCCUGGGCUACAUAAUGAGACUCUGUUUCAAGAAAAGAUGGGAGGGGUGGUCAGUGGGAACCAAGAACUCUUCUGCCUGUGUCUGUUAUGUGGGGAUACUGAGCAGAUGGCUGAAGAUGCUUCUGGGGAACCCAGCAUUCCUCCCUGUGAGCACCCUGAUCCUGGACUUCUAUUCUCCAGGUACAUCUGGUGGGUGAGCUACUCAGCCUGUGGAGACUUUUGCUCCUGCCCAAGGCUUGACUUGCUACUCUGACUCCCUGGGACCAGGCCUCAUAGGAACCCUGAAGUCUGCAUUCUGAAAUAUUUGUUGUGGUCAUGGCCAAACCUGUUGGGCAAGUGAUACCCGGGGGACGCCGGUCGAGCUCCUGUAAAUGCUAUGUACCCGGUCUACCCCAGCUCCAACCUACCCGGUCUUAAGAAAACUGUCACAUUUCGUGGAGACAGCUGCCUCUGGUCCCUCUCCUUGUCUUCCUGGGAUUCAGCAAGACUCUUGGGGUCCACGAGGUACUCAGAUGUGCAGCCUUUUAGCAACAGUUGCUCUGGUGUAUCACAGCGAACUGAGUCGGGCUCCCCUCGCCCUGUGAAGUUCUGGGGAAAGGGCCCAUUUAGUACCAGGAGGAAGCUGACUGACCAUGAAGGGCUAAAGCCCCUGACCUAUCUCCUCCUCACUUGCCCUUAAAAUUUGGCAUAGAAGUCUCUGGGGAGUGGGACAGCCUGCCAAAGAAUACCUGGCCUUAGAGACAGCCUUGAUCUCCCUGGGGGCUCCAAAUCAUGCAGCUGCAGGCCCUUUCCUGCUCCUGAACUACUCCCCCCAACAGUUCAGAUCCCCCAGCAUCUACAAAUUAAUGCCACAUGUGCCUGUAUCCCAAGCACAAGCAUUUCUGGUCACCAGCCUAACUUCAGGUUCAUUGAGAUCCUGUUUUGAGGGAAUAAGGCAGGGGAUGCUAUUCUGUUCGUUUAUUUACUUGUGUGCAUGGGCACAUACAUCUACAUCCACACCCCUCCCUACCUCCCCUCAAAUUACUCAAAGCAAAUGGGGAAAGUCAUUCUGGUGGUAUCCAGAGCAUCUUGGAAGGACCCAUGGGCAUGCCUGAGACUAUGACACAUCAUCAGGCAAAUGAUGGUCACAGAAUAGUGAAGAAGAUAGAAAUGCAUGUAUUCACUGGGAGAGGGAAUAAAGGAGGGAGGGAUAGACAGGUAGAGACAGAAGGGAAAAAGACAAGGCAGUCGGUCAUGGUCACAUCAGGGGAUAUUAAAGAGAGAAACAGGGAGAGACAUACAGAGAGACCAAGAGGAGAAAGACAGACAGUCACGGUGGGGGAUAUCACAGAGAGACACAGAGAGAAGCAGGGAGAGAGACAUAUACACACAGAGACAGAGAAAGAGUGAGAGAUGGGCAGAUAGAACACACAAACACAGAAAGAGAGAGUGAGAGAGAGAGAGAGAGAGAGAGAGAGAGAGGCAGAUAGUCACACACACACACACAGAUACAGAGGUGCAAUGAGACAGAGAGACAGAGAGAGACAGAAAGAUAGAGACAGAUAGAUAAAUAAAGAAGGAACAGAUGCCACACUCUGCUAGUCAACCCCUGUAGUUCUUACCAGCUUCUGGCACCAGGCACAGCUGGGCCCUGACCGGAUACAGUCCUGACAGGUGCUCACAUUGUCCUUGGUACACAACUGAGACAGUGCUGCAGAGACAGGUUGGGUGAGUAGGUCCUGCCCACCCGAGCUGAUCCAGAGUCAAUAGGAGUGGGUGGGAAGAGACCCAGGAAAGGUUAGGUCAGGAUCUACAGCUCCUAGUGGCUUGGAGCUGUUAUGCCCAUGAGGUGUGCCUACUGUUUCUGAAAAACCUCAUGUGGAGAUCCUAGAACUCACCAGAUUCCAGAGACAGCAGCCCAGCUAGGACAGGUAGCAGAGUGCACUGGCCCAGCAUGUCCUGUAGGGGGAAGGGCUUGGUGACUCUAGGAGUCACAGAUCCUCUCCUGGCUUGUCUGAACUGCAGGGUGUAAAUGUCUGCUGAGGGUAGAGUAGAGAAGAUCUUGUCCUUGCUACCACAGGGUGUAAGAAUCAAAGGUUCCAUACAAGUCAGGCACCAAUGUCUUCAGGUUCAGGGAAGGACAAAGGUGGGGUCAUAUGCCUACUGAGGUGCCUGGGGCACCAAGCAUAGAAGACUGGGUACCAAGAGUACCCAGAAUUUACUGGGCACACACUUAUAUAGACAUAUGCCAUAUUACCAUAGACACACACAAACAUAGCACAUGCCAUAUGUCAUCACAGACGUAGCACACCCACCGCAUGUUACAAAUACAGCCCGCAGCCUGUAUACACAUGUUCCAUGCUGCCGAAGCCAGAGCUAUAAACUUUGUAUGGUUAAGUCUUCAAAGUGUGGAGCCUGGGCUACAAGCUGAGACUCUCUCUGCCCCUGUGAUGCUGGAGGCAGUGCAGUGUGGCUCUAGGCCACGGCUGAUUUUAGAUGCUCCCCUGCCCCAUCCCUGACAGCCUCUAAGCUGUCCUUAAUGUGUUCUUGGAGUCAACAGCAUCAGGGUUGGCCAGUUGUUUUCCAGGGACUGAGUUCACACCAGUUCCUCCCGAGGACUUUCC
rnacentral:lncRNA from 1 species